rnacentral:rRNA from 1 species
AAACUGGGUCUAAUACCGGAUAGGACCAUGCUUUAGUGUGUGUGGUGGAAAGUUUUUUCGGUGUAGGAUGAGCCCGCGGCCUAUCAGCUUGUUGGUGGGGUAAUGGCCUACCAAGGCGGCGACGGGUAGCCGGACUGAGAGGUUGGUCGGCCACAUUGGGACUGAGAUACGGCCCAGACUCCUACGGGAGGCAGCAGUGGGGAAUAUUGCACAAUGGGCGCAAGCCUGAUGCAGCGACGCCGCGUGGGGGAUGACGGCCUUCGGGUUGUAAACUCCUUUCGCCAGGGACGAAGCGUUUUGUGACGGUACCUGGAGAAGAAGCACCGGCUAACUACGUGCCAGCAGCCGCGGUAAUACGUAGGGUGCAAGCGUUGUCCGGAAUUACUGGGCGUAAAGAGCUCGUAGGUGGUUUGUCACGUCGUCUGUGAAAUUCCACAGCUUAACUGUGGGCGUGCAGGCGAUACGGGCUGACUUGAGUACUGUAGGGGUAACUGGAAUUCCUGGUGUAGCGGUGAAAUGCGCAGAUAUCAGGAGGAACACCGAUGGCGAAGGCAGGUUACUGGGCAGUUACUGACGCUGAGGAGCGAAAGCAUGGGUAGCAAACAGGAUUAGAUACCCUGGUAGUCCAUGCCGUAAACGGUGGGCGCUAGGUGUA